AUUUAUCUCUUAGAUGUCCACGUGUUCUACACUGUCAUAUCUGAUGUAUGGGGCUUUUUACUUGGGGCCAGAGAUCGUCUAGGAGAAAUUAGAUCCUUGGAAGCAGUUCACAAACUUUUUGAAGAGUUUCCAGAAGCUUUUAUGAGCACCCUUCAUGUACCUCUUUCCAACAGAACUUCUCAGCAC